CCCUUAGAUGUCCUGGGCUGCACGCGCGCUACACUGAUGUGUCCAGUAAGCACCUAACCUCUUCCGUAAGGAACGGGUAACCUUUGCAAAGCACAUCGUGAUGGGGAUAGAUUAUUGCAAUUAUUAGUCUUGAACGAGGAAUUCCUAGUAAGCACAAGUCAUCAGCUUGUGUUGAUUACGUCCCUGCCCUUUGUACACACCGCCCGUCGCUCCUACCGAUUGAAUGUUCCGGUGAGCUCUUCGGACUGCGCGGUCUGCAGUUUCUGCGUUCCGUGCGGAAAGUUGCGCAAACCUUAACAUUUAGAGGAAGGAGAAGUCGUAACA
rnacentral:rRNA from 1 species